AGAGGGGUCGGGGAAGAAAGAAAAAUCCACGGCGCCACCGUGUCACCCCCGCACUGGCGGCCGCGCGCCGCUGCCGACGACGCCUAUAUCAAUCGCAAGCCUCCACCUCCUCUCCUCAUCCUCUCUCUCACUCACAACGCAGAGCAGAUAGCAGAGCGUGCCUCGCUCCUGUUUCUCCGUCGUUCAGCUUCCUCCCUCCAGAAAUCUCCUCGCGGUAGGUUGGUCUCCAACGCCGCCGGCCGGCCACCGCCAUGGGCAUCGUCGACGUCGUCUCCGAGUACUGCUCCUUACCCAGGACCCGCCGCCACCUCAAGAAGCGGAAGCAGUUCCAGGUAACCAACCUUUCUUCCAUCCAUCCCCAACCUCCACUCCACUCCAUCUCCUCUUCGAUCCGGAAGAGCAGAACCAUCGAUUUUUAUAUGUAAUAUGUAUAUGCGUAUAUCCUGACGGGACCUUCUCCGGCCAGACGGUGGAGAUGAAGGUGCUGAUCGACUGCGACGGCUGCGAGCGAAAGGUCCGGAAAGCCCUGGAGGGCAUGAAGGGCGUGAGCUCCGUGGACGUGGCGGCGCGGCAGCACAAGGUGACGGUGACGGGCUACGUCGACGCCGGCAAGGUCAUGCGCCGGGUCGCCUACAAGACGGGCAAGCGCGUGGAGCCGUGGCCGUACGUGCCCUACGACGUGGUGGCGCACCCCUACGCCCCCGGGGCCUACGACAAGAAGGCGCCGCCAGGGUACGUCCGCAACGUCGUCUCCGACCCCACCGCCGCGCCGCUGGCGAGGGCGUCGUCGACGGAGGUCAGGUACACCGGCGCGUUCAGCGACGAGAACCCAAACGCCUGCGCCGUCAUGUGAUGUAUGCGAUCGGCGGAGGAGGUGGCUGGCCGGCCGGCCGGCCGGCCGGCCGGCGGUGCAUCAUGAAGUAGGAGGGGUAAUCGCUCCAGAUUUCUUCUCUAGCUAGUAGGUGUAGUUGCUGGAGCUUUUAUUUUUUGGUUUUCU
rnacentral:lncRNA from 1 species